GUACACUCCUGCGGGAGGCAGCAGUGGGGAAUAUUGCACAAUGGGCGCAAGCCUGAUGCAGCCAUGCCGCGUGUAUGAAGAAGGCCUUCGGGUUGUAAAGUACUUUCAGCGGGGAGGAAGGCGAUAAGGUUAAUAACCUUGUUGAUUGACGUUACCCGCAGAAGAAGCACCGGCUAACUCCGUGCCAGCAGCCGCGGUAAUACGGAGGGUGCAAGCGUUAAUCGGAAUUACUGGGCGUAAAGCGCACGCAGGCGGUCUGUCAAGUCGGAUGUGAAAUCCCCGGGCUCAACCUGGGAACUGCAUUCGAAACUGGCAGGCUAGAGUCUUGUAGAGGGGGGUAGAAUUCCAGGUGUAGCGGUGAAAUGCGUAGAGAUCUGGAGGAAUACCGGUGGCGAAGGCGGCCCCCUGGACAAAGACUGACGCUCAGGUGCGAAAGCGUGGGGAGCAAACAGGAUUAGAAACCCCGGUAGUCCCAU
rnacentral:rRNA from 1 species